UGCAGUCGAGCGGACAGAUGGGAGCUUGCUCCCUGAUGUUAGCGGCGGACGGGUGAGUAACACGUGGGUAACCUGCCUGUAAGACUGGGAUAACUCCGGGAAACCGGGGCUAAUACCGGAUACUUGUUUGAACCGCAUGGUUCAAACAUAAAAGGUGGCUUCGGCUACCACUUACAGAUGGACCCGCGGCGCAUUAGCUAGUUGGUGAGGUAAUGGCUCACCAAGGCAACGAUGCGUAGCCGACCUGAGAGGGUGAUCGGCCACACUGGGACUGAGACACGGCCCAGACUCCUACGGGAGGCAGCAGUAGGGAAUCUUCCGCAAUGGACGAAAGUCUGACGGAGCAACGCCGCGUGAGUGAUGAAGGUUUUCGGAUCGUAAAGCUCUGUUGUUAGGGAAGAACAAGUGCCGUUCAAAUAGGGCGGCACCUUGACGGUACCUAACCAGAAAGCCACGGCUAACUACGUGCCAGCAGCCGCGGUAAUACGUAGGUGGCAAGCGUUGUCCGGAAUUAUUGGGCGUAAAGGGCUCGCAGGCGGUUUCUUAAGUCUGAUGUGAAAGCCCCCGGCUCAACCGGGGAGGGUCAUUGGAAACUGGGGAACUUGAGUGCAGAAGAGGAGAGUGGAAUUCCACGUGUAGCGGUGAAAUGCGUAGAGAUGUGGAGGAACACCAGUGGCGAAGGCGACUCUCUGGUCUGUAACUGACGCUGAGGAGCGAAAGCGUGGGGAGCGAACAGGAUUAGAUA
rnacentral:rRNA from 2 species